ACUGGGGUGAAGUCGUAACAAGGUAGCCSUMGGGGAACCAGCGGCUGGAYCACCUCCUUAAACGAUAGCGAGACUUUAGCAAGCGUUCACACGCAUUACUUGAUAAUUGAAGCAUGACUUCAAUUAGAUUGAUUGUUUUUAAAGCAUCAGCUUUAAACGCUCUUUAACAAUUUGGAAACUGU
rnacentral:rRNA from 1 species